CUACGGGACGCUCCAGUGGGGAAUAUUGGACAAUGGGGGAAACCCUGAUCCAGCAAUGCCGCGUGUGUGAAGAAGGCCUGCGGGUUGUAAAGCACUUUCGGUUGGGAGGACUGCUUCUAGCACUAAUAUUGUUGGAAGUUGACGUUACCUUCAGAAGAAGCACCGGCUAACUCCGUGCCAGCAGCCGCGGUAGGAUACGGAGGGUGCAAGCGUUAAUCGGAAUUACUGGGCGUAAAGCGCGCGUAGGCGGCUAGAUCAGUCGGGUGUGAAAGCCCCGGGCUUAACCUGGGAACUGCAUCCGAUACUGUCUAGCUUGAGUACAGGAGAGGAGAGUGGAAUUCCACAUGUAGCGGUGAAAUGCGUAGAUAUGUGGAGGAACACCAAUGGCGAAGGCAGCUCUCUGGCCUGAUACUGACGCUGAGGUGCGAAAGCGUGGGGAGCAAACAGGAUUAGAUACCCCCGUAGUC
rnacentral:rRNA from 1 species